rnacentral:rRNA from 1 species
ACUGAACGCUGGCGGCAUGCUUUACACAUGCAAGUCGAACGGCAGCGCGGGGCAACCUGGCGGCGAGUGGCGAACGGGUGAGUAAUAUAUCGGAACGUACCCAGAAGUGGGGGAUAACGUAGCGAAAGUUACGCUAAUACCGCAUACGAUCUACGGAUGAAAGUGGGGGACCUUCGGGCCUCAUGCUUUUGGAGCGGCCGAUAUCUGAUUAGCUAGUUGGUAGGGUAAAGGCCACCAAGGCGACGAUCAGUAGCUGGUCUGAGAGGACGACCAGCCACACUGGGACUGAGACACGGCCCAGACUCCUACGGGAGGCAGCAGUGGGGAAUUUUGGACAAUGGGCGCAAGCCUGAUCCAGCAAUGCCGCGUGAGUGAAGAAGGCCUGGUGUAAG